UGGAGGCAGCAGUAGGGAAUCUUGCGCAAUGGGCGAAAGCCUGACGCAGCAACGCCGCGUGGGGGAUGAAGGCCUUCGGGUUGUAAACCCCUUUCAGCAGGAACGAAUACAGACGGUACCUGCAGAAGAAGGUCCGGCCAACUACGUGCCAGCAGCCGCGGUAACACGUAGGGACCAAGCGUUGUCCGGAUUUAUUGGGCGUAAAGAGCUCGUAGGCGGUUCGGUAAGUCGGGUGUGAAAACUCUGGGCUCAACUCAGAGACGCCACCCGAUACUGCUGUGACUUGAGUCCGGUAGGGGAGCGGGGAAUUCCUGGUGUAGCGGUGAAAUGCGCAGAUAUCAGGAGGAACACCGGUGGCGAAGGCGCCGCUCUGGGCCGGAACUGACGCUGAGGAGCGAAAGCGUGGGUAGCAAACAGGAUUAGAUACCCCAGUAA
rnacentral:rRNA from 1 species